AGCAGCCGCGGUAAUUCCAGCUCCAAUAGCGUAUAUUAAAGUUGUUGCAGUUAAAAAGCUCGUAGUUGAAUUUCGGGACCAUCAUGUCGGUCGUGCCUCGGUACGUACUGGCAUUGUUGGUUUCUCCCUUCUGACGAACCAUGAUGUCAUUUAUUUGGUGUUGUGGGAAAUCAGGACUGUUACUUUGAAAAAAUUAGAGUGUUUAAAGCAGGCUCACGCUUGAAUACAUUAGCAUGGAAUAAUGAAAUAGGACGUUUGAUUCUAUUUUGUUGGUUUCUAGGAUCGAUGUAAUGAUUAAUAGGGAUAGUUGGGGGCAUUAGUAUUCAAUUGUCAGAGGUGAAAUUCUUGGAUUUAUUGAAGACUAACUACUGCGAAAGCAUUUGCCAAGGAUGUUUUCAUUAAUCAAGAACGAAAGUUAGGGGAUCGAAGACGAUCAGAUACCGUCGUAGUCUUAACCAUAAACUAUGCCGACUAGGGAUCGGAUGAUGUUAAUUUUUUAAUGACUCA
rnacentral:rRNA from 1 species